rnacentral:rRNA from 1 species
UUAGGGUUCGAUUUCGGAGAGGGAGCAUGAGAAACGGCUACCACAUCUAAGGAAGGCAGCAGGCGCGUAAAUUACCCAAUCCUGACUCAGGGAGGUAGUGACAAGAAAUAGCAAACCGGGAACCUCAUGGUUUCACGGUAUUGCAAUGAGAACAAUUUAAAACCCUUAGCGAGAAUCAAGUGGAGGACAAGUCUGGUGCCAGCACCCGCGGUAAUUCCAGCUCCACUAGCGUAUAUUAAAGUUGUUGCAGUUAAAAAGCUCGUAGUUGAACCUCUGUCUGGGGCCAGUUUUGGCUUUGGUCAGGCUAGUUCUAGGCAUCCGCCUACAAGACUUAGAGGGCAUUCAGUUGUUCACUAGGAGGAGUAGGCAUUUUACUUUGAAAAAAUUAGAGUGUUUAAGGCAGGCAAUCGCCCGCAUAUAUUAGCAUGGAAUAAUAGAAUAGGACACUUUUCCAUUUCGUUGGUUAUUGGAAUCGUGUAAUGAUUAAUAGGGACAGUUGUGGGCAUUUGUAUUUAAUUGUCAGAGGUGAAAUUCUUGGAUUUAUUAAAGACAAACUAACGCGAAAGCAUUUGCCAAGGAUGUUUUCAUUAAUCAAGAACGAGAGUUAGGGGAUCAAAGACGAUCAGAUACCGUCCUAGUCCUAACUAUAAACUAUUCCGACUCAAUGUUUGACUGGCUUAUAUAACCAGUUGAGCGUUGUAUGAGAAAUCAAAGUCUUUAGGUUCUGGGGGGAGUAUGGUUGCAAAGCUGAAACUUAAAGGAAUUGACGGAAGAGCACAACCAGGAGUGGAUUCUGCGGCUUAAUUUGACUCAACACGGGGAAACUUACCAGGUUAAAACAAUAGUGGGAUUGACAGUUUGAGAGCGCUUUCUUGAUUGGUUGGGUGGUGGUGCAUGGCCGUUCUUAGUUGGUGGAGUGAUUUGUCUGCUUAAUUGCGUUAACGAACGAGACCUUAACCUGCUUACUAGACUGGCGAUCAUCAAUCGUUAGCUCUUCUUAGAGGGACUUUGGUUGUUUUAACUCCAAGGAAGUUUGAGGCAAUAACAGGUCUGUGAUGCCCUUAGAUAUCCUGGGCCGCACGCGUCAUACAAUGACUAGUUCAGAAAGUUUUCUCCUGACCCGAAAGGGGAUGGGUAAUCUUGAUAAUACUAGUCGUGUUAGGGAUCGAUCUUUGCAAUUAUAGAUCUUGAACGAGGAAUUCCUAGUAAGUGCGGUUCAUCAGACCGUACUGAUUACGUCCCUGCUCUUUGUACACACCGCCCGUCGCUUCUACCGAGUGGGUGGUCCGGUGAGAUAAUUGAACUUCGCAGGUAACUGAGAGGAAAGAUUAUCAAACCUAUCCACCUCGAGGAAGAAGAAGUCGUAACAAGGUU